rnacentral:rRNA from 1 species
UGGGGAAUCUUCCGCAAUGGACGAAAGUCUGACGGAGCAACGCCGCGUGAGUGAAGACGGCCUUCGGGUUGUAAAGCCCUGUGAUUCGGGACGAAAGGCCAUAUGGGAAUAAUAUAUGGAAAUGACGGUACCGAAAAAGCAAGCCACGGCUAACUACGUGCCAGCAGCCGCGGUAAUACGUAGGUGGCAAGCGUUGUCCGGAAUUAUUGGGCGUAAAGCGCGCGCAGGCGGUCCUUUAAGUCCAUCUUAGAAGUGCGGGGCUUAACCCCGUGAUGGGAUGGAAACUGGGCGACUGGAGUAUCGGAGAGGAAAGUGGAAUUCCUAGGGUAGCGGUGAAAUGCGUAGAGAUUAGGGAGGAACCCGGUGGCGAAUGCGACUUUCUGGACGAAAACUGACGCUGAGGCGCGAAAGCGUGGGGAGCAAACAGG